CCCUAUGGGGUGCCAAAGAAAAAGCGGCGUAUGAAAGCACGGUUUAAGCCAACCGCUUCAAAAAUUUGAGCCCCACAAUAGGAUUGGUAGGUGGAGAUGUCCAUUUUGGACAUGAUUUUAAGGAUGCCUUUAUCAAUGGAUUUGAUGUAGCGUUUUACAAUUUCAUCGCUCUCUAGGAUUUCAGGCAUAGACUUGGCUAUUUCAGCCAGUGUUUCAAGAGCUAAAUAGGGAUUGAUAGCUUCGGCGCCAUAGCCUGCAAGGGCACAAAAGUGAUGUACUUCGCGCGCUUCACCAGUUUCGAUGACAAGAUCAACGGAAGUACGCAACCCUUUACGUAUGAGAUGAUUGUGCACGGCAGCUGUAGCCAAUAGUGCAGGAAUGGGCGGGAGGGC
rnacentral:rRNA from 1 species